GACGUCAUCACGCAGGGCCGAGUCGGCGCGGCCACAUCCUUUAAAUAUGGUCUUUCUUGGGCGCGCGCGACAAUGUGAGGAGUGGGGUGGAGCGUGUGUGGUGUGUGGCUGCGGCCUGGGCAAGAGCCGCCGCGGACCAUGAGCUGAGUAAGUUCUGGAGGGAUCCUGCCUCUUGGAGCCUUCGCAGCCAGGCAGCUGUGAACUGUGAGCUAGAGUGAAGCAGAAAUCUAGGAAGAUGAGCUCCAAGAUGGUCAUAAGUGAACCAGGACUGAAUUGGGAUAUUUCCCCCAAAAAUGGCCUUAAGACAUUUUUCUCUCGAGAAAAUUAUAAAGAUCAUUCCAUGGCUCCAAGUUUAAAAGAACUACGUGUUUUAUCCAACAGACGUAUAGGAGAAAAUUUGAAUGCCUCAGCAAGUUCUGUAGAAAAUGAGCCGGCAGUUAGUUCAGCAACUCAAGCAAAGGAAAAAGUUAAAACCACAAUUGGAAUGGUUCUUCUUCCAAAACCAAGAGUUCCUUAUCCUCGUUUCUCUCGUUUCUCACAGAGAGAGCAGAGGAGUUAUGUGGACUUGUUGGUUAAAUACGCAAAGAUUCCUGCAAAUUCCAAAGCUGUUGGAAUAAAUAAAAAUGACUACUUGCAGUACUUGGAUAUGAAAAAACAUGUGAACGAAGAAGUUACUGAGUUCCUAAAGUUUUUGCAGAAUUCUGCAAAGAAAUGUGCGCAGGAUUAUAAUAUGCUUUCUGAUGAUGCCCGUCUCUUCACAGAGAAAAUUUUAAGAGCUUGCAUUGAACAAGUGAAAAAGUAUUCAGAAUUCUAUACUCUCCACGAGGUCACCAGCUUAAUGGGAUUCUUCCCAUUCAGAGUAGAGAUGGGAUUAAAGUUAGAAAAAACUCUUCUUGCAUUGGGCAGUGUAAAAUAUGUGAAAACAGUAUUUCCCUCAAUGCCUAUAAAGUUGCAGCUCUCAAAGGACGAUAUAACUACCAUCGAAACGUCAGAACAAACAGCUGAAGCUAUGCAUUAUGAUAUUAGUAAAGAUCCAAAUGCAGAGAAGCUUGUUUCCAGAUAUCACCCUCAGAUAGCUCUAACUAGUCAGUCAUUAUUUACCUUAUUAAAUAAUCAUGGACCAACGUACAAGGAACAGUGGGAAAUUCCAGUGUGUAUUCAAGUAAUACCUGUUGCAGGUUCAAAACCAGUUAAAGUAAUAUAUAUUAAUUCACCACUUCCCCAAAAGAAAAUGACUAUGAGAGAGAGAAAUCAAAUCUUUCAUGAAGUUCCGUUAAAAUUUAUGAUGUCCAAAAACACAUCUGUUCCAGUCUCUGCAGUCUUUAUGGACAAACCUGAAGAGUUUAUAUCUGAAAUGGACAUGUCCUGUGAAGUCAACGAGUGCCGAAAAAUUGAGAGUCUUGAAAACUUGUAUCUGGAUUUUGAUGAUGAUGUCACAGAACUUGAAACUUUUGGAGUAACCACCACCAAAGCAUCAAAAUCACCAAGUCCAGCAAGUACUUCCACAGUACCUAACAUGACAGAUGCUCCUACAGCCCCCAAAGCAGGAACUACAACUGUGGCACCAAGUGCACCAGACAUUUCUGCUAAUUCUAGAAGUUUAUCUCAGAUUCUGAUGGAACAAUUGCAAAAGGAGAAACAGCUGGUCACUGGUAUGGAUGGUGGCCCUGAGGAAUGCAAAAAUAAAGAUGAUCAGGGAUUUGAAUCAUGUGAAAAGGUAUCAAAUUCUGACAAGCCUUUGAUACAAGAUAGUGACUUGAAAAUAUCUGAUGCCUUACAGUUAGAAAAUUCUCAGGAAAUUGAAACUUCUAAUAAAAAUGAUAUGACUAUAGAUAUGGUACAUGCUGAUGGUGAAAGACCUAAUGUUCUGGAAAACCUAGACAACUCAAAGGAAAAGACUGUUGGAUCAGAAGCAGCAAAAACCGAAGAUACAGUUCUCUGCAGCAGUGAUACAGAUGAGGAGUGUUUAAUCAUUGAUACAGAGUGUAAAAAUAAUAGUGAUGGAAAGACAGCUGUUGUGGGUUCUAACUUAAGUUCUAGACCAGCUAGUCCAAAUUCUUCCUCAGGACAGGCUUCUGUAGGAAACCAGGCUAAUACUGCUUGUAGUCCUGAAGAGUCAUGUGUUUUAAAAAAACCUAUCAAACGAGUAUAUAAAAAAUUUGAUCCAGUUGGAGAGAUUUUAAAAAUGCAGGAUGAGCUCUUAAAGCCAAUUUCCAGAAAAGUACCCGAAUUGCCCUUAAUGAAUUUAGAAAAUUCUAAACAGCCUUCUGUUUCUGAGCAAUUGUCUGGUCCUUCAGACUCCUCUAGUUGGCCGAAAUCUGGAUGGCCUUCUGCAUUUCAGAAGCCAAAAGGACGAUUGCCAUAUGAACUUCAGGACUAUGUUGAAGAUACAUCGGAAUACCUAGCUCCUCAGGAAGGAAAUUUUGUUUAUAAGUUAUUUAGCCUGCAAGACCUGUUGUUACUCGUACGCUGCAGUGUCCAGAGGAUAGAGACAAGACCACGUUCUAAAAAACGGAAGAAAAUCAGAAGACAAUUUCCAGUUUAUGUACUACCAAAAGUAGAGUAUCAAGCUUGUUAUGGAGUUGAAGCUCUGACUGAAAGUGAACUUUGUCGCUUAUGGACUGAAAGUUUAUUGCAUUCCAACAGCUCAUUUUAUGUUGGAAGAUGUUCAAGAAAAUCACUUGAAGUGCUUUUAAAAGUGGAGAUUGCUGGCCCCACCCUGGAGUGUCUGAUUCACUAGGUCUGUAUUGGGACCUAAGACUUUCUCAGGUGGUACUGAUGCUGCUAGUUUAGGGACCACACUUUGAGAAUCAAUUCUAUAGCUUAUAGUCUCUUUUUGCAGUAGAAUCAACACACUUGUGAUUUGUUUGUUUGCUCUGCUUUGCUAUAAACAUGUUCCCCGCUUUCCCUAGUUGCAGUACUCUUUUUAUCUUUUCCCCAUAAAAACUUGAAGAUUUACUCCUUCAAGACAGUUUCCCACAUAGUCUCACUGCAACUUCUGUAUUCACCCUCCAACCCUAUAAUAUUUAUCAAUUCUAUAUAGUUGGUAUAUAGGCAGUCCUCACUUAGCACACAGUUUCAAUAAGCACAAGUUUUAGUUAUGACCGUGUAUUAACAGUGAGUAAUUGUAUAAAGUAUAAGCUUCACUGCUGGCUCUUCAGUCCACAGAUCACUACAUAAGUAACAGGCAAAUCAUGAUCAGUGACCAGUCAUGUCACUUCUUUCAAAGUCUGUUUAUAAUUGUUUAUUGUGUACCCAUUGAGUUCAUGCACAGAAAGCAGAAUGUGCAGUUGUGUUGACUCUUUGUCUCCCAGUGAUAAACCCAUGUGAUAUUUUACCAAAGUAGAUAAUCAAAAGAAUUGACCAAACAAUAUUAAAGCAAAGCAAAGAAACAAAAGGCGAUACUGCCAGAAGUGAAAUUUGAAUGGAACAUAAAUGGAAUUACAGAGGAAAUAGCAAAGAGUGGGAAUGUUGGCACUGCUAUUGUUCCAGUGACUCUAGAUUUGCUGCCAGACAAACUUAGUGAAAGCAUUGUGACAUAAAGGAUGAACAAGUGACACUGGCAUAAGAUUUUACAGUAAACAAAUCCUGAAGAUAAUUUCAUGACAUUGAAGGCACCAAGGAUACAGUGUCAGAAGCUGAUCCUUAGGAAUAUAACGGUUCACCAUGGCAUAGAAAAGAUGUAUCCGGCCAGGUACGGUGCCUCAAGCUUCUAAUCCCAGCACUUUGGGAGGCCGAGGUGGGUGGAUCAUUUGAGGUCAGGAGUUCAGGACCAGCCUGGCCAACAUGGUGAAACCCUGUCUCUACUUAAAAUGUAAAAAAUUAGCUGGGCACUGGGACUACAGGCGCCCGCCACUGCGCCUGGCUAAUUAAAUGUAACUUUAAUAGGAAUUAGAAACACCAGUAUUUUAAUAGUUGUUGUUCAUAAAUUGUAGGCUUUGAAAUGAUUUCGUAUGUGUGGACAUGUGUAAACAUAUAUUUAGCAAAUAUUUUAGAAUGAAUAUAAAUGUUUUAUAAUCCGAAUUAUGUCAUUUUAAAAUAUAGCUUUACUUAAGACUUAAUAAAAUGUGUAUUUCUCCUUUUAAAAUGUAAAAUUUCUUCACAGUUAUUAAAAUUUGUAAUCUUUAAGGAGACAGGA